rnacentral:rRNA from 1 species
GACGAACGCUGGCGGCGUGCCUAAUACAUGCAAGUUGAGCGAUGAAGAUUGGUGCUUGCACCAAUUUGAAGAGCAGCGAACGGGUGAGUAACGCGUGGGGAAUCUGCCUUUGAGCGGGGGACAACAUUUGGAAACGAAUGCUAAUACCGCAUAAUAACUUUAAACAUAAGUUUUAAGUUUGAAAGAUGCAAUUGCAUCACUCAAAGAUGAUCCCGCGUUGUAUUGGCUAGUUGGUGAGGUAAAGGCUCACCAAGGCGAUGAUACAUAGCCGACCUGAGAGGGUGAUCGGCCACAUUGGGACUGAGACACGGCCCAAACUCCUACGGGAGGCAGCAGUAGGGAAUCUUCGGCAAUGGACGAAAGUCUGACCGAGCAACGCCGCGUGAGUGAAGAAGGUUUUCGGAUCGUAAAACUCUGUUGGUAGAGAAGAACGUUGGUGAGGGUGGAAAGCUCAUCAAGUGACGGUAACUACCCAGAAAGGGACGGCUAACUACGUG